AAGUCAAAAUGCGGGCACUUCACUCGUCAUUGAUAAAACCCCUCAUUCGUCUCCAUUGCCCAUUUUCGACUCCCAUUAUUUCACUAUCUCCACUUCGAAAACAAUUUCCCUAUUUGCACUCCUCCGCUACUACUUCACUCCAAAAACUAACCGCCAUGGCCGACAACAAGACGGCAGCCGUCGACGGCAACUUUACCUCUGACCACGUGUCCGACGCUUGGUACUCCGUUCCCGACCUCCGAUUACGCGAUCACCGAUUCACCGUUCCUCUCGAUUACUCUAUUGAUCGCUGUUCCUCUACUAAAAUCACCGUCUUCGCUCGUGAAGUAGUUGCUGUUGGUAAGGAGGAACAAUCUCUGCCAUAUCUACUAUAUUUGCAAGGUGGACCAGGCUUUGAAUGCCCAAGACCAACUGAAGCUGGAGGAUGGAUAAGCAGAGCAUGCGAGGAGUACCGUGUUGUUUUAAUGGAUCAGAGAGGAACAGGUCUAUCAACACCAUUAACACCAUCAUCUAUGUCACAAGUGAAUUCUGCUGAGGAUUUGGCUAACUACUUGAGACAUUUCCGAGCUGAUAAUAUAGUACAUGAUGCUGAGUUCAUCCGAAAACGCCUUGUCCCUGAUGCUGGACCUUGGACAAUACUUGGACAGAGCUUCGGAGGAUUUUGUGCAGUUACCUACUUGAGUUUUGCUCCUAAAGGACUCAAACAAGCUCUUAUAACUGGCGGGCUCCCUCCAAUUGGUGAAGGAUGCACAGCUGAUUCUGUUUAUAAGGCAGGCUUUGAGCAGCUUGUUUGUCAGAAUGAAAAAUAUUACAAGAGGUUUCCACAGGAUAUUGAAAUUGUUCGUGAUGUUGUAAAUUAUCUGGCAGAGUCAGGAGGCGGGGUACCUCUGCCAUCUGGUGGCAUCUUAACACCUCGAGGACUACAACUUCUUGGUCUCUCAGGUCUAGGAUCAAGUACUGGUUUCGAACGAUUGCAUUACCUGUUUGAGAGAGUCUGGGAUCCUUUAAUAGUUCAAGGAGCAAAAAGGAGAAUCAGUGACUACUUCUUGAAUGCUUAUGAGAGAUGGAUCGGAUUUGAUGCAAACCCUUUAUAUGCUCUUUUGCAUGAAAGCAUAUAUUGCCAGGGUGCCUCAUCCCUGUGGUCUGCUCACAGAAUUAGGGCUCUAAAUGACAACAAAUUUGAUGCAAUUGAGGCAGCAAAAGUUGGCUGCCCUGUACUUUUUACUGGAGAGAUGAUAUUCCCAUGGAUAUUUGAUGAGGUCCAUGCGUUGAGGCCGUUCAAAGAUGCUGCCCAGCUACUAGCAGAGAAGAAGGAUUGGCCAUCAUUAUAUGACAUUGCUGCAUUAAAGGAUAAUAAAGUACCAGUUGCAGCAGCUGUUUACUAUGAAGACAUGUAUGUUAACUUAAAGUUAUCUAUGGAGACCGCUUCUCGGAUAGCAGGAAUCAGGCCUUGGAUUACUAAUGAGUACAUGCACUCUGGUUUGAGAGAUGCCGGAAGUCGAGUUUUGGAUCAUUUGCUUGCUAUGUUAAAUGGAAAGAAGCCCUUGUAUUAACUCUAUUUUCCACCAUCAUACACACUUUCUCAUGAACGUCAAAGGCUUAGACAAUGCUCGUGCAUUUAUUGAUGAGAUGGCACCAGGAAGGCUCUUUGAGGUUGUUGACUAUAGCUUGCCGGGGCAUUUAUUUUCACUGGUGUAACUUGAAUAGAAGCAUGCACAACGAUUCUAGGUUUCUUUUGCAUUUGAAUUUCAUCCAGAGUUGGAGGAUCUACGCUGUAUUUAUUUUCAUGCGCUAGCUGCUUAUUGGAUUGACUCUUGCUAUAUAUUUGACUUGGG
rnacentral:misc_RNA from 1 species